rnacentral:rRNA from 1 species
AUUGAACGCUGGCGGCAGGCCUAACACAUGCAAGUCGAACGAGUGGCGGACGGGUGUGUAAUGUCUGGGAAACUGCCUGAAGGAGGGGGAUAACUACUGGAAACGGUACUUAAUACCGCAUACCUUCGGAUUUUCCCAGGUGGGAUUAGCUAGUAGGUGGGGUAAAGGCUCACCUAGGCGACGAUCCCUAGCUGGUCUGAGAGGAUGACCAGCCACACUGGAACUGAGACACGGUCCAGACUCCUACGGGAGGCAGCAGUGGGGAAUAUUGCACAAUGGGCGAAAGCCUGAUGCAGCCAUGCCGCGUGUAUGAAGAAGGCCUUCGGGUUGUAAAGUACUUUCAGCGGGGAGGCGUUACCCGCAGAAGAAGCACCGGCUAACUCCGUGCCAGCCGCCGCGGUAAUAC